rnacentral:sRNA from 1 species
GCUGGGCAUGGUGGCUCAUGCCUGUAAUCCCAGCAUUUUGGGAGGCUGAGGCGGGUGGAUCACCUGAGGUCAGGGGUUCGAGGCCAGCCUGGCCAACAUGGUGAAACCCCGUCUCUA